rnacentral:rRNA from 1 species
AGAGCGAACGCUGGCGGCAGGCCUAAUACAUGCAAGUCGAACGGACCCUUCGGGGUUAGUGGCGGACGGGUGAGUAACACGUGGGAACGUGCCCUUUGGUUCGGAACAACUCAGGGAAACUUGAGCUAAUACCGGAUGUGCCCUUCGGGGGAAAGAUUUAUCGCCAUUGGAGCGGCCCGCGUCUGAUUAGCUAGUUGGUGAGGUAAAGGCUCACCAAGGCUACGAUCAGUAGCUGGUCUGAGAGGAUGAUCAGCCACACUGGGACUGAGACACGGCCCAGACUCCUACGGGAGGCAGCAGUAGGGAAUCUUGCGCAAUGGGCGAAAGCCUGACGCAGCCAUGCCGCGUGAAUGAUGAAGGUCUUAGGAUUGUAAAAUUCUUUCAGCGGGGACGAUAAUGACGGUACCCGCAGAAGAAGCCCGGCUAACUUCGUGCCAGCAGCCGC